rnacentral:rRNA from 1 species
UACGGAGGGUGCAAGCGUUAUCCGGAUUCACUGGGUUUAAAGGGUGCGUAGGUGGGAAUGUAAGUCAGUGGUGAAAUCUCCGUGCUUAACAUGGAAACUGCCAUUGAUACUAUGUUUCUUGAAUUUUCCGGAGGUAAGCGGAAUAUGUCAUGUAGCGGUGAAAUGCUUAGAGAUUGGGAAGAACACCGGUGGCGAAAGCGCUCUGCUGGACCACAACUGACACUCACAGGACGAAAGCUAGGGGAGCGAAAGGG